UUUCUUAAUCAAAUUGAUAUGUUUCUUGGGCUAUUACUCUUUUUCUUUUCUCUAUACACUAUGUUUUGCUGGGGGCGGGUGGUGGUGUUGGUUGAGCAGGUCAGAUAGGACAUUUUAGGGGUCGUUUGGCUCCUGGUUAGGAAGGGAGUUAUUCAUGUAUUAGAACUAUGCAUAGCCAAGUAAAGGUGUUUGGUUACCAACUUACAAUUCCGCAUAACUAAUACAUGUACUGUACUCCCUCUGUUUCAAUUUGUUUUUUCUUUCUUUUCUUUUUAGUUUGUUUAAAAAAGAAUGUCAGUUUCCAUAUUUAGUAACUCUUUAUACCUAACAUCCUACACGGCAUAUUUAAGACCACAAGAUUGGGCAUUUGCAUUUUGGUACGUUACACACAUCUUUAGUUUAAGACCACAAGAUUCAAAAGUCUACUUCAUUUUCUUAAACUCCGUUGCCAAGUCAAACUAAGACAAGCAAAUCGAAACGGAGGGAGUAUAAGUUAUGUGGGAAUCUAUGUAUUAUUUUAUGCAGGGUAGAAGAUUGAGUAACUAAUAGUCUAAUACCACAUGAAUAACUAGACCUUGCAUAACUCUAACCAGCAACCGAACGACCCCUUAAGUGAUAGGAAAGCGCAAACUAGUUUUCCCAUUUAUAUGACAUACUUAUAGAUAGGAUGAUAGUUCUUCUCUUGAAUAUUUUUUGAGAUAAGGGAACCUUUGUCCUUCCUUUUCUUACCUUUUCUCCUGUAGUCCCCGAGUACCUAAAUACUAGAGUGUCGGGAGAAACCAAUUUGCUUGGUAAUGAUUUUAAGACUAGUUUUUUAUUUAUUUUGGUAUUGGAAAAGUUAGAUGCCAAAUUCAGAAUGACCUACUCUGACAUCCAUUUUUAUGGCGGGAAUGAUUGUGGUAUUUAAUGGAUCCUUAGUGCUUACUUCUUGGCAAAAUUAAGCAUUACAAAAUAUAUUCCUUUUUGAUGUCGUCUACCUGUAAUACUGCUUCAAAUAACUUGACAUAUUAAUCUUUAAGUUGAGAUGUAUACUGUGAUCAUGAGCCCUGUUUAAGAAAUUCCUUCAACGAGCAGGUUCCCUUAGGCUGCGCAGUCCAUCAGCGCUUUAGUUCUUGAACAUAUUGGUGAUCACUCUCUGAAUUUUGAAAUAAUCGUGUGGAGAAGGGGAAAAAAAAAAAAAGUAAGAUCAUAGACAUGAAAACUCUCUCGAGGUAAGUAACUUUUUUUUUUAAAAAAAAAAAAAAAAAAAUUGAUAUUGAGAGAAAUAAAACACACAUCUCUUAAUAUAAGUAUUUUAGCAUGGUCAGGAAGUGACCAGGAGGUCACGGACUCGAGCCGUGGAAACAGCCUUUUGCAGAAAUGCAAGGUAAGGCUGCGUACGAUAGAUCCUUCUGGUCCGGUCCUUCCCCGGACCCCGCGCAUAGCGGGAGCUUAGUGCACCGAGCUGCCCUUUUAGCAUGGUCAGGAAGUAGGUCUCUAGGAGAAAAGAAAAUGGGAGUACCCGCUAGGGUGACUCAGUUGGUUGAGCAUGGGGCUUUCAUAAUGGAGGUCUCAGUUUCGGAACCCCCUGCCUAUGACAGCAGGGGAUUUGCCUUCUAGGCCGAGCUCGUCACACGGGGCUUGCCUAGUGCGGUUAUCUCUCCUGUGUGGUUUGCGAGCUAUUGCACAGGAGCUGAGUUUACCCUGUGCGCACCCGAAGGGUUGCGGCUGCGGGUUCCCAUGUCAUAAAAAAAGAAAAGCAAACGGGAGUUGCUCACAGAGGUAGACCAAGGAUUUGAACUUUAUGGGUUCUGAACUUGCCAACGAACCAAUAAUCGUUUUACUUAUUGGAUUAACAAUUAGAUAUUUAUACAUAUUUUAUGAAUUUCUUGUACAAAUACAGGUCUAAGCAAAAGCUACUGGAGAAAAUUUCCUCUAAGUUUGUUAUACGCUCAAACCCAACAAAGAAUUUUUUGACCAGUUAGGCUCAGUUGGGUUUUGUGAGAAAAUUACUUCUCCAGUUCGACGUUAUUUCAGCAAUUUAGUUCAUCCACUUUUACCAUGAAUCUAGCUCUGCUAUGACCUCUGUAGAUUCUUGCUGUAUAACUUUCGGAUGUUCUCUUUGAGCCUUUAUUAUACAUUUGAAAAAUUCUCAGGUUCUAGACUCAGAUUCUUGCAAAAUAUAAUUUCUUAAGUUUCUAAAAGUCUUGUGAUCCACAUCUCCAAGUAUGUUCCAUCAUGUAGUAGUUAUGUACAUUUCAAUUGGUAAUUUAAUAGUAUUUUAGUCUUUGUAUUAUAGCCCCCUCCCCAACACACACACACGCAAAAGAAGCAGGUGUACGCGCCAACAAAGAUACAUAAUCGAAGUGGUUUCUGUGAUGUAUCAGUCUGACAGAACUGGAGCCAAUGAUUUCAUAUUUCAAGGUUAUGCUAACUUCAACUUCAAAUGUUGUGUCAACAACUUUAAAGUGUGGUUUGUGAAGAUUAGGAUGUCAAUGAGCAUUAAAUUUUUUGUCAUAUAUUGUCAAAGGAAAAAUAAAAGAACAUUGGAAGUUGGAUUUUGGGAUCUUACCAGUUUAUCACACCCUCUCUUUGAGAACUUUUUCAAUGAAUUUAUGUGAUAAAUUCUGGAAGAUAAAAGUUUUCUUAUCAGUAGAAUUAACAACAUUUUCUUUUCCUAGUAAGCAACUGCAGAUGGGUUUUCUUCAUCCUUUUGAAGUAGAGCUAUAUAGGAGAAGCUUUUCACACUGUACCUAGCAUCAUAACCAUAUAAACUGAAUAAAAUCUUAAUCCUGUACCCAAAGGUGUGGUCAAUGAAGUGAGUUUAGAACCAUGAGGUCUCACGUUCAAAUUCCAGUCGAGGC